GGUAACUUGGCCGAGUGGUCUAUGGCGGUAGGUUUAGGCCCUAUUCUCUUCGGAGGCGUGAGUUCGAACCUCACAGUUAUCA